rnacentral:rRNA from 1 species
CCUACGGGAGGCAGCAGUGGGGGAUAUUGCACAAUGGGGGGAACCCUGAUGCAGCGAAGCCGCGUGGGUGAAGAAGCGCCUCGGCGCGUAAAGCCCUGUCAGCAGGGGAGAAAAUGACGGUACCUGAAGAAGAAGCCCCGGCUAACUACGUGCCAGCAGCCGCGGUAAUACGUAGGGGGCAAGCGUUAUCCGGAUUUACUGGGUGUAAAGGGGGCGGAGACGGCGAUGCAAGCCAGGAGUGAAAGCCCGGGGCCCAACCCCGGGCCUGCCCUUGGAACUGCGUGGCUUGAGUGCAGGAGGGGCAGGCGGAAUUCCUGGUGUAGCGGUGAAAUGCGUAGAUAUCAGGAGGAACACCGGUGGCGAAGGCGGCCUGCUGGACUGCAACUGACGUUGAGGCCCGAAAGCGUGGGGAGCAAACAGGAUUAGAUACCCCUGUAGUC